CCCCCGGUAGCUCAGAGGUAGUAGCGCUUGUCUGAAGAGCAAGAGGUCGCCAGCUCAAAACUGGUUCGGGGGGC
rnacentral:tRNA from 1 species